rnacentral:rRNA from 1 species
GACGAACGCUGGCGGCGUGCUUAACACAUGCAAGUCGAACGGAAAGGCCCUGCUUUUGUGGGGCUCUCGUGUGGCGCACGGGUGUGAAACACGUGUGUAACCCCCCCUUGUCUUUGUGAUAACUUUACGACACUGGGGCUAAUAUCGGAUAUGAUAUCUUGAUGCGUGUUGGUGGUUGGUAAGAUUCGGCGGUUGUGGCUGGUCUCGAGGCUUAUGCGCUUGGUGGUGGAGUUGUGGCUUACCAAGGCUUCGAAGGGUAGCCUGCCUGAGCGGGUGACCGGCGUCAAUGGUACUGAGAUACGGACCAGACUCCUACGGGAGGCAGCAGGGGGGAAUAUUGCACAAUGGGCGGAAGCCUGAUGCGACAACGCCGCGUGCGGGAAGACGGCCUUCGGGUUGUAAACCGCUUUCGACGGUGACGAAGCGUGAGUGACGGUAAUGGGUAAAGAAGCACCGGCUAACUACGUG